CGCUUGAGCUGCAAUCAAACAG
rnacentral:miRNA from 1 species